GACCAGGUCAGGCGGGAAGCACCCGCCGAGUUUUAGCAUAUAAUAAUGCCGGAGGAAAAGAAACUUACCAGGAUUCGCCCUAGUAAGGGAGCGAAACCGGGAGAGAGCCCAGCUUGAGAAUGCGGGCGGCCCUCGGCGUCCGAAAUUGUAGUCUGGAGAAGCGUCGCUCAGCGGCGGAGCCGGGCCCAAGUCCCCUGGAAGGGGGGCGCCGGAGCGGGUGAGAGCCCCGUCAUGCCCGGACCCUGUCGCACCACGAGGGGCUGGUCCUGCGAGUCGGUUUGGUUUUGGGAAUGCAGCCCCAAAUCGGCGCGGUAAAUUCCGUCCAAGGCUAAAUAGCGCGGCGAGAGACCGAGUAGCGAACAAGUAACGCGAGGGAAAGAUGAAAAGGACUUGAAAAGAUGAGGUCAACAGAUGUGCUUUGAAAAUUGUCGGGAGGGAAGCGGAUGGGGGCGGGAUGCGCCCCGGUCGGAUGUGGAACGGCGCAAGCCGUCCGCCGAUCCAGGCUCGGGCGCGCGGACCGACCGCGCGAUGCGCAGCGGCGGCCCAAGCCCGGGCACUAGAAACGGCCGCGAGGACGCCGUCGGGCAGCGAUGUGGACAGCAGCGCCGCGCCGUCACGGCGUGCCCCCGGCACCAGGCGCGUCCUGGCGUCGGCCGGCCGGGCUCCCAACUAUCGGCCCGUCCUUGAAACACGGACCAAGGAGUCUGACAUGGUGGUGCGAGUCACAACGGGCGAGUAAACCGUCAGGCGCAAGGAAGCUGACUGGCGGGAUCCCCCGAGGAGUUGCACCGCCGACGCGACCUCGAUGCUUCUGAAAGAAGGGUUCGAGUGAGAGCAAUGCCUGUUCGGGACCCCGAAAGAUGGGUGAACUUGCCUGCGCGGGGCGAAGCCCCAGAGGAAACUCUGGUGGAGGCCGCAGCGAUACUGACGUGCAAAUCGUUUCGUCUGACUUGGGUAUAGGGGCGAAAGGACUAAUCGAACCGUCUAGUAGCUGGUUCCCUCCGAAGUUUCCCUCAGGAUAGCUGGAGCUCCCCGGGGGACCCCCGAGGGUUUUUUUCUUUCUUUAAUCCGGGGUUUUUUUUAAAAGGGGGCCCCCCAAAAUUUGGGGGGAAAAAAAAUUUUUUUUAAAAAAAGAGGCAAAAAAAAAAUCGUGGGGCGCAACGCCUCAGGACCUAAUUUCUCAAACUUUAAAUAGGUAGGACGCGCGGCUGCUUUCGCUUGAGCGGCGCCACGGAAUGCGAGAGCUUCAAGUGGGCCAUUUUUGGUACAAGCAGAACUGGCGAUGCGGGAUGAAACCGGAAGCCCGGGUUACGGUGCCCAAAACUGCGCGCGCUAACACAAGAACCACAAAGGGUGUUGGUACCGAUUUAAGACAGCAGGACGGUGGUCAGGAAGUUUCGAAACUGCCGCUAAGGAGUGUGUAACAACUCACCUGCCGAACUCAACUAGCCCCGAAAGAUGGAUGGCGCUUAAGCGCGCGACCUAUACCCGGCCGUCGGGGGCAAGAGCCAGUGCCCGAUGAGGUAAGGAGGGCGCGCGGGCCGCUGCAAAAGCCGGGCGCGAGCCGCGGGCGGAGCGGCCCGCCGGUGCAGGAUCUUGGUGGUAAGUAGCAAAUAUUCAAAAUGAGAACUUUGAAGGCCGAAGAGGGAAAGCGUUCAUUGUGAACGGAACUUGCACAUGGUUUAGUUUGAUCCUAAGAGACGGGGGAAGCGCCGGCCAACAGUCGCGUCCGCGGCGAGCUUCGAAAGGGAUCGGGUUAGAAUUCCGGGAACCGGGAAGGCGUGCGGCUGACGGCACCGUUAGGGAAGUUCCGGAGACGUCCGCGGGGGCCUCGGGAAGAAGUUUAUCUUUUUCUGUUUUAACGGCCCGCCACUCCUGGAAACGACUGCAGUCCGGCGGUUAGGGUCCAGCGGCCGGAAGAGCAACGCGACGUCGCGUCGGUGUCCGUGCGCCCCCGGCGGCCGUGAAAAUACGGAGGACCGAGUGCCUCCCCGCGCCCGGUCGUACUCAUGAACCGCAUCAGGUCUCCAAGGUGACACUCUGGCCAAUGGAACAAUGUAGGAAGGGAAUGUCGGCAAAAACGGAUUCCGUAACCUCGGGAAAAGGAUGGCUCUGAGGGCUGGGCCCGGGGGUCCCCAGUCCCGAACCCGUCGCUGUCCGGCGGACUGCUCGAGCUGCUCCCGCGGCGAGAGCGGGUCCGCCGCGUGCCGGCCGGGGGACGGACUGGGGAACGGGCCCCUCGGGGGCCCUUCCCGCGGGCGUCGAACAGUCGACUCAGAACUGGUACGGACAAGGGGAAUCGCCGACUGUUUAAAUUAAAACAAAGCCAUUGCGAUGGUCCUGCGGAUGCUCACAGCAAUGUGAUUUUCUGCCCGUGCUCCUGAAUGUCAAAGUGAAGAAAUUCAACCAAGCGCGGUAAACGGCGGAGUAACUAUGGAAUCUCUUAAGGUAGCCAAAUGCCUCGUCAUCUAAUUAGUGCGCGCAUGAAUGGAUUAACGAGACUUCCCACUGUCCUGUCUAUAAUCCAGCGAAACCACAGCCAAGGGAAGGGCUUGGCGAAUCAAGCGGGGAAAGAAGACGCCUGUUUGAGCUUGACUUCUAAGUCCCGACUUUUGUGAACAUGACUUGAGAGGUGUAGGAUAAGUUGGGAGCCGGAAAGCGGCGACGGUGAAAUACCACUACUUUAACGUAUUUUACUUAUUCCGUGAAUGCGGUAGGCGGGGCCUCGCCCCUCUUUUUGACCGCAAGGCCGCACGGCGGCCGAUUCCGGGCGGAAGACAUUGUCAGGUGGGGAGUUUGGCUGGGUUUGCGAGCACAUCUGUUAAAAGAUAACGCAGGUGUCCUAAGAUGAGCUUCAAACGAGAACAGAAAUACUCGUGUGGAACAAAAGGGUAAAAGUCGUUUGAUUUCUGAUUUCCAGUACCGAAUACGAACCGUGAAAGCGUGCCGUAUUCGUCCUUUAAGACUUCGGGAAUUUUGAAGCUAGAGGUGUCAGAAAAGUUUACCACAAGGGAUAACUGGGCUUGUGCAAGCAAGCGUGUCCAUAGCGACGUUGCUUUUUGAUCUUCGAUGUCGCUCUUCCUAUCAUUGUGAAGCAGAAUUACCCACAAGUGUUGGAUUGUUCACCCACCCAUAGGGAACGUGAGCUGGGUUUAGACCGUCGUGAGACAGGUUUCGUUUUACGCCUACUGAUGACCGCGUCGCGAUGGUAAUUCAACCUAGUAGAGAGGAACCGUUGAUUCGCACAAAUUGGUCAUCGCGCUUGGUUGAAAGGCCAGUGGCGCGAAGCUACCGUGCGCUGGAUUAUGGAACUGAACGCCUCUAAGUUCAGAAAUCGGGCCCCAGAAGCGACGCCCGUGGUCCGGCGCCCCGCUUGGCCGACCCGCAGUAGGGGCCACUCCGGCCCCCAGAGGCACGUGCGUUGCCAAGCCCCCGAGGCGGACGAGCCGCGCGGGCCCGCCUUGGAGAGUACUAUCCCACGGGCGUCGCGGCAGAAUCCUUUGUGCAGACGACUUAAAUACGCGACGGGGUAAUGUAAGUGGCAGAGCUGGCUUGGCUGCAGAUCCACACCCUGAGAUUCAGCGCC
rnacentral:rRNA from 1 species